GACGAACGCUGGCGGCGUGCUUAACACAUGCAAGUCGAACGGUGAAGGACGGAGCUUGCUCCGACCGGAUCAGUGGCGAACGGGUGAGUAACACGUGAGUAACCUGCCCCAGACUCUGGAAUAACCCCGGGAAACCGGAGCUAAUACCGGCUACGAGACGGAGAGGCAUCUCUACCGUCUGGAAAGUUUUUCGGUCUGGGAUGGACCCGCGGCCUAUCAGCUAGUUGGUGAGGUAAUGGCUCACGAAGGCGACGACGGGUAGCCGGCCUGAGAGGGCGACCGGCCACACUGGGACUGAGACACGGCCCAGACUCCUACGGGAGGCAGCAGUGGGGAAUAUUGCACAAUGGGCGAAAGCCUGAUGCAGCGACGCCGCGUGAGGGAUGACGGCCUUCGGGUUGUAAACCUCUUUCAGCAGGGAAGAAGCGAAAGUGACGGUACCUGCAGAAGAAGCACCGGCUAACUACGUGCCAGCAGCCGCCGUAAUAC
rnacentral:rRNA from 1 species